UACGUAGGGUGCGAGCGUUGUCCGGAAUUAUUGGGCGUAAAGAGCUCGUAGGCGGUCUGUCGCGUCGGUCGUGAAAACUUGGGGCUUAACCCUGAGCUUGCGGUCGAUACGGGCAUGACUGGAGUUCGGCAGGGGAGACUGGAAUUCCUGGUGUAGCGGUGAAAUGCGCAGAUAUCAGGAGGAACACCGGUGGCGAAGGCGGGUCUCUGGGCUGACACUGACGCUCAUGCACGAAAGCGUGGGGAGCAAACAGG
rnacentral:rRNA from 1 species